rnacentral:rRNA from 1 species
GAUCCGUCGCCUUAGGAUGGGACUGCGUCCGAUUAGGUUGUUGGCGGGGCAACGGCCCACCAAGCCAUUGAUCGGUACGGGUUGUGGGAGCAAGAUCCCGGAGAUGGAUUCUGAGACAUGAAUCCAGGCCCUACGGGGCGCAGCAGGCGCGCAAACUUUACAAUGCGAGCAAUCGUGAUAAGGAAACCCUGAGUGCCUGUCGAUGCAGGCUGUUCAUAUAUCUAAAUCAUAUGUGAAGAAAGGGCAGGGCAAGACCGGUGCCAGCCGCCGCGGUAAUACCGGCUGCUCGAGUGAUGGCCACUAUUACUGGGUUUAAAGCGUCCGUAGCUUGACUGUUAGGUCUCUUGGGAAAUCUUCGCGCUCAACGUGAAGGCGUCUAAGAGAUACCGGCAGUCUUGGAACUGGGAGAGGUAAACCGUACUUCGGGGGUAGGAGUGAAAUCUUGUAAUCCUCGAGGGACGACCUAUGGCGAAGGCAGUUUACCAGAACAGCUUCGACAGUGAGGGACGAAAGCUGGGGGAGCAAACGGGAUUAGAUACCCCGGUAGUCCCAGCCGUAAACAAUGUGCGUUAGGUGUGUCGGUAACCACGUGUUACUGAUGCGCCGAAGAGAAAUCGUGAAACGCACCACCUGGGAAGUACGGUCGCAAGGCUGAAACUUAAAGGAAUUGGCGGGGGAGCACCACAACAGGUGGAGCCUGCGGUUUAAUUGGAUUCAACGCCGGG